rnacentral:tRNA from 1 species
GGGCUCGUUGUCUAGCUGGUCAUGACGUCGCCUUGACAUGGCGGAGGUCCGGAGUUCGAAUCUCCGCGGGCCCACCA